AUGCAUGAAAGAAAUGAAAUAGAUAGAAUCUUGUUUGAACAACAACCUCUGCUUAAACACAAUUUGCCUAUCGAAACACCAGGAGGUCCUCCUCCACCUAAAUGUGAUCAUGUGUUUGAAUUAAAACAACUACCUGGCACUUUGAAAUAUGCUUCUCUCGAUGAGAAAAAGAUAUAUCCUGUUAUUAUUAGUGCUAACCUUUCAGAACAUGAAGAAGAAAGAUUAUUGAAAAUUCUAAGGAAGCACCGAGCUGCUAUUGGAUAUACUGUUGAUGAUCUUAAGGGCAUUAGUCCCACUCUAUGUCAGCACAAGAUUAAUAUGGAACCUGAUGCUAAACCCAUUGUUGAUCACCAACGUCGGUUAAAUCCGAAGAUGAAAGAAGUGGUAAGAACGGAAAUACUAAAACUUCUGGAAGCAGGUAUAAUCUAUCCUAUAGCUGAUAGUAGAUGGGUAAGUCAUGUUCAUUGUGUCCCUAAGAAAUGA
rnacentral:rRNA from 1 species